UGGGGGAUAUUGCACAAUGGGCGAAAGCCUGAUGCAGCGACGCCGCGUGGGGGAUGAAGGCCUUCGGGUUGUAAACUUCUUUUGCUCUGAACAAGGCAUGCUAAUGGGUGUGUUGAGUGUAGGGGUUGAUUAGCGCCGGCUAACUACGUGCCAGCAGCCGCGGUAAUACGUAGGGCGCGAGCGUUGUCCGGAAUUAUUGGGCGUAAAGGGCUUGUAGGUGGCUGGUUGCGUCUGUCGUGAAAGCUCAUGGCUUAACUGUGGGUUUGCGGUGGGUACGGGCUGGCUUGAGUGCAGUAGGGGAGGCUGGAAUUCCUGGUGUAGCGGUGGAAUGCGCAGAUAUCAGGAGGAAUACCGGUGGCGAAGGCGGGUCUCUGGGCUGUUACUGACACUGAGGAGCGAAAGCAUGGGGAACGAACAGG
rnacentral:rRNA from 1 species